GGAACAUCACAACCUGUGGGACAGAGUCACCUCCCCCCCACCCACCUCUUGCUCAUGUGCUCGGCUGAAUCCUGAUGGUUUUAUUGUCUUGCACAUGUGACCUGAAGAAGGAUGUACUUCCUAAGGAAAGAGUGGACCUGCAGGUCUGACCAGCUCCCAGCUCAGGACUGACCUGAGAACUAAUGGUUAAACUUCUGCUAAGUUGGUGGUUUAUUUGCAUAAAAAGGAAAUUAAUGACA